UUACAACUUAUACUAUAUUGCCGUGUACUAAUUUACAACUAUUAGUAACAAACAACUAGUUUAAUAAUCCAAAUAAAAUAUAACACCUUUGUACCUAUUUUAACACACAACAUAUCAAUAAUAUGUACUAACUAAGAACUAAUUUAACCGUACAAUUACUUAAAUACCUCUACCAACAUUUAGCAAUAACAAAUAUGUGCUAACCAUACAUACUAACAUCGAACAAUGCGAAACAAUCAACAACUCUUAAACCAAUUUUUUAUUAAACUUUCAUAUGCAUUGUACUUAGGGAUUACUAAUGUAUACCUUAACUUCACUGCUGGAGGGUGUCGCCAACCCUUUCCUCCCGGCCGGCGCCUCCUCGGCCUCCUCUCUGGCCUGCUAUCCCCUCCCCUCGCUCCCUCCGGCGCUCACGACGACGAAGUGGCGACUCUCGGCGGCGGCUGGCGAUGUGGUCCUCAAAACAAAUCGAACUCGCGGCCUGGGUGGAUGGGGCUUUAAACCGGCCUGUCAAACGCCCAUUGUUCGACAGGGUCGGUGGAGGGCCCUGUCGAACGCCCCCGGUUCGACAGGCCUCGCGGCGCCGGGUGGUGGGCCCUGUCGAACUCCCUCCGUUCGACAGGUGAGCGUGUCGAACGCCAGCCAUUCGACAGGGCUUUGUCGACUGCCCGUCGUUCGAUAGGUGCCCUAUCGAAUUGCACCCGUUCGACAGGGACCUACUUUCGCGAUUUUUCCCGGUUGGCCACUACUUUUGCGAUUUUCCAUAAAAAUAAUAUUAAUUCUCAAAAAAAUUCUACCAAGGUCACUGCCAUAUUUUUCUGUUGCUCAUGCACGCUGGGAUCAUCGCCUCUCUGCUCCACACUGCUGCGCCCAAGAAACCUGACCAACCAGCAAAUCAAAGCUAUCAUCGCCGGGAUGUCGAGCUUUACAUCAUCAUGCUCACUCUUCUUCCAUAACCUCUAUCACCGUCCUGUUUUUAGCGCUGCCAUAAUACUUGGGAGGUCGAGCAAUGCAGUGGAUCAGAUCAGCUGCUGCAACGACGUCUCGUGAGUUUCUGCCAUUAUUGUCGCACGAGCAUCUUGCUGCCACAACUCUGACAUGGUUGACGUUGUUGCUGAGGAGGUUGCUGUUGCAGGUGAAGGUUCAGUCUGAAGAUCCUGAAGAUCCCGUGGGUAAAAGCAAGUGUACCCUUGAACAUGUUGAUCCCAACUUUAAAAAUUAUCUUGUUUUAAAUUAUAUGCAUUGUUUUGUUUUACAAAUUAUUGUGUGGGUAGUUAUAACCUACUUGUUAAUUAUUCCAUGCCUUGAAUUAUUGUUGAUUAUCCUUGAUUAUUUGUCACCUAGACUGUAUGAGAGUCAAACAUGGGGUAUUGGCUCAGGGUAGUAGAUUUGCUUAGCCCUGCUCACACUUUUACAAGGCAAAAUAUAAUAUUGACUAAUGAUCUACUUAUCACUGUUUUUUUAUAUAAACUGUGUGGUUGUGUGCUAUCUUCUUGGUGGCAUGUGUUGCACCGUGUAGUAAUGAUCUGGUGGAAAAUGUUUUAGACCAGGGCGAUGGUGGAUCUGUGUGAACCUAGGAGGUAAGCCAUCUGUAUGCGUGCUUACUGUUGACCUAUGUGGUCGAUUGAGCUAUGUGCUCCAUUUUUGCUGUGUGCUUGAGGUCCUUAGUUUAGGCAAGUCGCCCUGGUCAGAUAAGGACUUCACUUCGUGCGCCAUUGAUCUGAGUCUUACCGUGCAACCACAUGUCCUCAUGGGAAGGACCUAGCUUAGUACACUACUUAGCUUUGGCACCGACGGCCCAGGUGGCUAGAUGAUAGGUUUUUGGAUUGUACAUGGGACCUUUCACCUGUGUGGUGAUGGGAGGACCGCCCAUGGGGAAGCCGGUGUUAGGGUGAGGUAGAGGAAACGCUUUGUUACUCUUUGGUGUUUAGCGGCACCGAACUGUAUCUCGUGGGUAAAGUUGUACAACCUCUGCAGAGUGUUAAUCUAUUCGAAUAGCCGCGUCCUCGGUUAUGGACAUGCUCGGUGAUUUCACAUGAGGGGUAGAUUUGUGAAAGUUUUACUUUUGGGAAAGAGCUGUGUGCAGGAUAAAUUAAUGAAUAUAGCUGUGUGGUCCUGUGUGGACGCAAUAUCCUUUUUGGGUUGGUUGGUUGGUUAAAAAUACCGUGAUUGCAAAUGUUGUUUAAAUUAAAUUUGUAUCCAUUUAUUGUAUUUAAGUUCUCAAAUGCCUUUAUGCAAAUGAACCCUAACCUUCCUUUGAAGCCAUGUAUCAUAUAUUGCAUAUUCCCGUACACUUGGGAGUACUUUAUGUACUUACCCUUGUUGUCUCACAAAAUUUCAGAGAAGGUCAGUUGUUUCCAGAAGUUCUGUUGCUGAGGAUGUCGAAUAGGUUGCGUGCCACAGUCGAUUGUCUCAUUGGUGCCUCUCGAUUCUUUUUCCGCUGCUUAUCUUUGUUUGGCCCUGUGUGGAAAGAAAUUGUAAAAUCUGGUCAUAAGACCAAUGUAAAAUUUAUAUUUGUUUCCUAUUUAUUAACAUAAUUGUGA